rnacentral:lncRNA from 1 species
AAGAUUUACUUUCAUCAAAAAGACAGAACAUAAACCAAACCAUAAUAUCAUACUUGUUGUUCAAUAAGAUUUUCAUACAGAGAAACAGAAGGGAAAAUAUCUUUUAAAUGCAGAUAUAAUUUCUAACUUUUUCUAAAUAAAGCUAUUUAAUUGUGGCCCAAUUUUGGUUAUUUGAGUAUCUUCCAUUUACACUAUAUUAGACUAAUUCAAAAUGCUAUUUUAAAGUCUAACCCAACUUUUCAUUUAAAAUAGCAUUUACUUGCUCUGUAGUGCCAAGUGAUAAUCCCUCAAACAUUCAACAAAACCUAAGACAGCAUCACGAGGACUCAUCAUGUCCACCAAACCCUUCCCUUCCUGGUGCACAACCUGGUGUUUUAUUUUGAAGGAAGAAACGAGCAAAGAGGGAAGAGCUUGGCUUGUUACGCUUGGCUGUGGGCUGACAGCUGCUGGUAGCCCCUGUGCAGCCUGAGCCCCUGGUCUGAGCAAAGAACAAUGCUGCACCUGCACUCCCUGUGCUAGGCCCCAAGGGUGCUCAUGGGAUUACAUCAGCUGUGCUGUGACCCAUGUAUGAUGAGGAGAGUGAAAGAUGGCCCCAACUCCACCAGCAGCCCCCCACAUAUAUGCACCCCCUCAGUGGACCCAUC